CCAGAACUCAGAGGUAGGUCUCGGGGUUCGUCUUGGUUGGGGAGGUGCUGGCCUGAAGGGCCCUGGGGUUCAGAAGGGAGCUCUGGGCUGGAGACCCCACUGCAGGAUGGUCAGCGUGGAGGCCAUGUGGGAGCCUGCAAGGCUGGGGGUGGCAGACCGUCCAGGGAGGGGAGACGGGAACAGCCGUGGACCCAGCAGCGUGCAGACGCUGAGACUCGGCCUCCAGGGAGGAUGGCCAUCCCAGGACCGGCCUGGUCUCCCGCCGGAGGACACAGGAAGGGGGCUCCUGUCCAGGCUUGGCGUCUCUGCAGAUAGCACCCUGUGCAACCUGUCCGUCACCGGCCACAGAACACCAGCUGUAUUCAGACACAUACCCAGCUCUGCACUGAGCACUUACCUCUCGGGCAUUACUACAAACAUCACGACUCUACUUCCGCUGCCUUGCCCACUCUGUCUUGAGGCCAGUGAAGGAAGCAUUUGCUAAAGGCUGUACAACCGGCGGGAGCGGAAAUGCCCUUAAACCCAGGACUGGCUCCUCGGGCCCGGGCCCUGUCCUGCCCACGCUGGGGUGGGCCCCUGAGCCCCCACAGGGACGCGCGGAGGUGUCCAGAGGUUGCAGGGCCUCCCUUGCCCCAGGGGUGCCUGCAGGUCACAGCAGGACAGGGAUAAGACUAUCUGACGCACUUUGCUCUCUCCUGCUGAGAAAAACAACUUGGAGGCAGAGGCUGUCUCUGGCAGUCACACCCGGGCCUCAGCUCACUCCUCCAAAGGGCAGCUAAGAGUCCCCAGGGAUACAGGUGUGAGCCCCGAAUUCCAGGGUGCUCCAGGGGGCUGGAAUCAGAGGCUGCCCAGUCAGGGCAGGGCAGCCUCUCAGGGAGGCUGGGUGCAAGGAGGGGCUGUGUGGUCUCAUCAACCUGGGGGCUGAGGGCAACCCAAGGAGUUCUGGGCACUGGGUCCGCACCCCCCCGGACACAGUCAGCCCCAGGCGUGGCAGUGAGACAGAGUCCUGAGAAGUCCAGGGCUGCACGGGGGUCAGGCUGGGCUGCUGGGCGCUGCCUCCCACUGCAGAGCGAGUUUGAGACGAGGCCCUGAUCCAGCUGUACCUGACGCCGCUCACCCUGGCUCAGCCGUCCCCUGUCUCCUUGGGCACCGUGAGCUGGGUCCUUGUCACAAGAGUUCUGAUCCAAAAACCGGAUUGUGGGGCUGGGCUGACUGCUCUUCCUGUCUGGAAGCUGUCACGUUCUGGGAGAUGACAGGGAAUGGGAGGCCUCCUGUCAGUUCUCUGACCCAGGACUUGACUGACAAGGACAAAGGCAGCCUGCCCACCCACCCUUCCCCUCUGAGCCCCCAGGCCGGAUCUCCGUGCACGGGGGUGUUCAUGCAUGAAGGUGUUCGGGGGCCCCCUGUGAUUGGGGUCCGACGUGUGCAGCCGUGUCCCUGUGUGGCUGCCGAGAAGGGUGGGAUCUUCACGUCCCACAGGCACACACGGGCCCCCUGCAGAGGGGACGCCAUCGUGACAGUGACUGGCACCGCCAUCCUGCUCAGGCUGACGCAGGAGAGCGUCCUGUGACCGCAGAUGCGGGCAAGGCGGGGAGGGUGCUCCGUCCUGCCUCCCGCUCCGCGUCACCUCACCCCUCAUUCCUCUGCUUCUGUCCUCCUCUCCCGCUCCCCUGACCCCUCUUCCUUACCCCUCCUCUCCUCCCAGGCCUUCUGGCCUCAGGAGAGCUGCCUUCCACGUCCCCUGGGGUGUGCCCAGUGGGCCAGGCUGGUGUGAGGAAGCCUCUUUUACAAGGAAGUCCUGUGCCCCGGACCUUACUUGGCCCCAGAGGGCAGGACGCCUGCCCCCAGGAGGAUUCACAGAGCCCCCCUGACCCAGACCAGCCCGGUGCCUCCCCCAGAUGCCAGCCCACCAGGCUGCCGACGCUGCCACAAGACGGCCCUGUCCUCCGACGCAGCAGUCCUGGAACCGAGGUACUGGCGUCCUGUUUUCCCUGAUGGGGAAACUGAGGCUUGGAGCUGUGAUAUGAUUUGCCCCGUCAUAGGGUGAGCAAGAGGCUGGGUCUGAAGCCAGCCCUGGGAUGGCUUCCUGGAGGAGGAGGGCCAGCUGGCGAAGCUCUGUUCACUGAACUCGAGGCCCAGGGAGGACUGAGAGAAAACGAUGCCAGACAAGCCUCCCCCCGCAAGCGCCCCUCACGGACAGUGCCCUGUCUCUGCCAACACUGAGAAGAGCAGGGCGCCCCAAACCCGGUGGAGAAAACAGAGUGGUAAGAAGAGUCCAACGAGCGGCCAGACGCCCUUCAGCCGCAUCCAGCGCCCGCCCGCCUCCCCGUGUGCGCACCGCCAGCCAGCCACCGUCACCCGUCUGUCAUCUCCCGGUCUCCACCCAGGGAUGCGUGUGCCGUCCUCCUGUGCGUGCACAUGUGCAUCUGUCCAUCAGCUGCCAGCGCCACUGCCCGCUCCCCGAGCCACGUGAGAACCAGCUUUGGCAUCCUGACCUUUCACCUGCAGUAAUACCACGGUCUCCAAGGACAACAGAGUCCGCCCAUGUCACUGUGACACCGUCACCACACCCAGGAGUUUUUCCUGGAUACAGUCACCUAAUGUUGGUCCCACGGACCCAGCUGCGUCCCGCGAGCUACUUGCCGGUCUAGACGGAGGAGUCAGUCCAGGACUGGGAGCUGCGGUGACCUCCAGCUCUCUCCGUGUUCUGUUCACGGCGGUGAUGUUUCCGAGGGGUCAGGAGCAGGUAUCUGCUGGAGUCUCUCUGAACCUGGGUGUGUCCUCCCCUCCUCAAGAAUGGUUUUGGUGAGAACGCUGCAGUGGAGGGCGGGGGCCUCCCCCAAGACAUACAUGGUGAAGUUUGUUCCAAAAUGUUUGCUUACCAACUUAGUUUCUUAUUCCUUGAAAUGUACUUCGCGGCAAGGAGAAGUGAGGAUUUAAUCAGGUAGUUUCUCUAACCUGCCCCAGUGGCACUGAGUGAAGGACUCUUUCAACGUCUCUCGUUUCCUCCUCUGGAGUCCCUUUAGCUUUUCCGGGCUCUGCGUGUCCUGGCCCAUUUGUCCCGAGCUCCAUGCUGUUCUGAUGACCCCAGCACCCUGCCUUCCUCUUCACGCUCAGAGCCCGUGCACCUCUUUGUUUUGGGAGCGUGGGUGCUCACCCUGCAGCCCCGCCUCUUCAGGGCACUCUGAUGUCCUCCCCACCCCCCUCCCCCGCCUGUGAGCCAAGGUC
ensembl:lncRNA